rnacentral:rRNA from 1 species
AGGGGUGACUGGACAUCGCAAGUCGUACGCUUUGUCCUUCAACUGAUUUGAAGAGCUUGCUCAGAUAUGACGAUGGACAUUGCAAAGAGUGGCGAACGGGUGAGUAACACGUGGGAAACCUACCUCUUAGCAGGGGAUAACAUUUGGAAACAGAUGCUAAUACCGUAUAACAAUAGCAACCGCAUGGUUGCUACUUAAAAGAUGGUUCUGCUAUCACUAAGAGAUGGUCCCGCGGUGCAUUAGUUAGUUGGUGAGGUAAUGGCUCACCAAGACGAUGAUGCAUAGCCGAGUUGAGAGACUGAUCGGCCACAAUGGGACUGAGACACGGCCCAUACUCCUACGGGAGGCAGCAGUAGGGAAUCUUCCACAAUGGGCGAAAGCCUGAUGGAGCAACGCCGCGUGUGUGAUGAAGGGUUUCGGCUCGUAAAACACUGUUGUAAGAGAAGAAUGACAUUGAGAGUAACUGUUCAAUGUGUGACGGUAUCUUACCAGAAAGGAACGGCUAAAUACGUGCCAGCAGCCGCGGUAAUACGUAUGUUCCAAGCGUUAUCCGGAUUUAUUGGGCGUAAAGCGAGCGCAGACGGUUAUUUAAGUCUGAAGUGAAAGCCCUCAGCUCAACUGAGGAAUUGCUUUGGAAACUGGAUGACUUGAGUGCAGUAGAGGAAAGUGGAACUCCAUGUGUAGCGGUGAAAUGCGUAGAUAUAUGGAAGAACACCAGUGGCGAAGGCGGCUUUCUGGACUGUAACUGACGUUGAGGCUCGAAAGUGUGGGUAGCAAACAGGAUUAGAUACCCUGGUAGUCCACACCGUAAACGAUGAGUGCUAGGUGUUUGAGGGUUUCCGCCCUUAAGUGCCGCAGCUAACGCAUUAAGCACUCCGCCUGGGGAGUACGACCGCAAGGUUGAACUCAAAGGAAUUGACGGGACCCGCACAAGCGGUGGAGCAUGUGGUUUAA